AUCACUUACCAGCAUUUUGGUUAAGAUCAAGUGUAGUAUCUCUUUUUACCAGUUUAAUAUCUGAUACAUCCUUUAUCUGAGGACAUUAUAUUAAGUGGAUUUUUGGAGCUGGAAUGUGGAAUAGGAGCUUGCUUCCAGGAACAGUGCAUUUAAAAAAAAACAAAAACCUGCAAAAUCAGACUUUCAUUUAAGUCUAU